CUCCCAUACCAACCAUCAGCCGCCGCCGCCACUCCACCUUCCCUCCUCGCGUCGCUCCAUGUCGCCGCCAGUGGCGCCGGCUUUGAACCACCCUGCGCCAGGCCCCUCCCAUCGACGAGCCCAUCCGGGAGAGAUGUCGUUUUUUCAUGAAGGUUGGCUCCAAGUUCCUUGCACAUAGUGGAGUCACCAAGGCCCGUGCCCCUGCCAUGCUCGGUCUGACUACAGGUGUUCCAUCUCGAGGCUUGCACACUAUUGUGCCCUCGAGUUGCGGCGGCCCAGUCCUGCCUCUCAAGUUGAUGCGGCGGCAGUGGCGGCGGUACCGACAGCUAGCUUUGGAACCCCCUGACGUCACCGGCGGCGGGCAUAGAUCCAGCUCCAUCCGGUGGUGUGACACACACGCGCGCUUCUUCUUGGAUGGUCAGUGGCAAGUCUGAGGGGAACACGGGCGUGUCCUUCAUGCACGACGAUGGCACCGGCCCAUCGAUUUCAUCUGGUCUUGCUGAAGCUAUCCAAGAGAGCCAUUUCCUCUCCUACACAUAUGCUACCAUUGGAACUGAAUAUCUCAUGACAAAGUCACGCACAGGGGGCAGUACUCUCCCUCACUCGGCUUUGCUUAACCACACUCGGCCAUUUUUUGCUUAACAAUUUCUUCAUUUUGCAUCACAAAAGCAUGCAUUUCUCAUUAGAGAAGCUAAACAUUGCAUAAACUUCUGAAUUUUUUAGCCACAUCUUGGCAUUAUUCUGAACUGAAUCAUGACAAGAACACAUGACUUGAAUUUCUCAGUACACGUCUGCACCAUUAAUCACAACAACAAAAAAUUGUCACAUAACCCAUAUAUACAACAGAAUGUUAUUUUACACAGCCUGACGACUUCCACUAGUUAGAGUCUUUUGUAUGUAAACUUAUAUAACUUUUAUGUAUUGUAGGCAGCUCCUUGCACUGUACAGUGCAGUGCCUGAUCUAGUACAUAUGUUGUGCCAAUGGAUAUGGGCAUUUACAACUGAUUUGAGAGCCUUUGGGAUAUGACUACUAUGACUAUCACCAAGAGGAUAGUUUCUAAAAAUGAAGCCAUGUAGGUAUGGUAGAGAAGUGAAUCUAUGACGGUGAUGUCGAUAGUUGGCUGCCAGUGUGAACCAGCAAAUAUGCUGAGACAACAGGCAGUUGAUGGAAGCGUCGAAGUCGAGCCAGGUAAGAUUAGGUAGCGAGCUACUUGUUGCUGUCGUCACAAUCAAGCUGCCAUCACAAUCAACCACGACGCCAUGACAUGAUAGUUGCCACAGGAGGACCGACGGAAAGAACAUGAAUAACAACCUCAAUAGUUUAUAUGUUAUGUUGAUGUAAAAUGGAUUGUACUGGUUCCUAACCUUGCUGUGUGAUAUAUUGUCAAUCUAUGUUGUAAGUUCUUAUUUAUAGAGGAUUUUAUAAACUGCUAUGUUGUAUUUACAUACCGAUGGCUACAAACUGGAUCAACUAUGUAAUGUCCUAACACUUUGCAAAUGCUUCCUCUUGGGCCAAAAUUGGCACUUGGAUUUGUGAGAUGCAUUAUGCUAAAAACAUGCUUGGUCAAAAUUUGGCAGAAAUAAAUGGGCUAAUCAGGCAGAAAUGAAUAGG